rnacentral:lncRNA from 1 species
CAAAGAUAAUGUUUAAUAUUUAUUACCUAAAAACAAAACCACGCGAUAACUCUAUUACGGCUAUAUAAAUUUCAAUAAACACGAAAUGUAAUGUUGAACCUUUAAACAAAUAGAUGUAGCUGUACAUUACAAAAAAAAAAUAUUUUCAAAGUCUUUGUAGCAAAUACAAUUACAAAGCUUUAUGCAAAUUUAUCUCAAGACUGAUACUCAAAUGAGAGGCAAAAGAUACCAGAGUAACAUUCAAACUCAUAAGUCGAAAAUAAACUGACAACACCAUGGCUAAAAAAGAAAAAAAGACCAACAGAUAAAUAAAAGUGCACACAACAUAAAAAACGCAAGAUUGAGCAACACGAGCACAACCACAACAUUGGGGUGAUCUCAGGUGUUCCGGAAGGGUAAGCAGAUCCUGCUCCACAUGUGGCAUCCGUCAUGUUGCUCAUGUUAGUACAAACCCGGUAAUUUGUAUAAUUCGGUAUGACAUAUUCGGGAAAAGGGGACGGGAUUGCAGUUACGACAUCAGGAACAUAUCCGUUUUUAUCUGUAAAAUGAAUAUUCCAUAACAGUCAACCAACUCGUUAUGGCGUCAGUAAAACUUGCAAAGGAAUGAUUUCAACUUCAACACUUGGAACUUUUAGUUUAAUUGCUUUCUUGUGAGCAGCAACCCUCUAUCAAGGAAAUCAUGAUCGGAAAUACAAGCCCUGGAAUAUCGUAUCAACUGGGAGAUAUAUACUCAAAACUUGUUAUUAGCAAAUUGUAUAUGAUAAUCUUGAUGAAACAGAAGAGGUUAUUUUAGAAAUUGAUAAAUCCAUCCUGCGAUAUAAAACCGUGUCGUCAAAAGUAUGCUACUUACACAACC